rnacentral:lncRNA from 1 species
UGGUGAUGCCUGUGGAGAUGGAAGCUUUUGAGGCUCUUAAGAGCAGGGCAGUGGGGCCUUCUGCUUUGAGACCUACCAGGCAAGACACGCCACCCAAGCGUCAUCUCAUCACCCCUGUUCCUGGUCAGUCAGAGUCCUAUAACCUGGGGAAAUGGGACAACCCUGGGGACAUUGAAACAGGGAGAACAGGCCUUCUGUCCUUGCCUCCAAGCAGGGUCACCGUAAUCAGGAAGGAAAGUGCUGUCCUCCAGGCCACUGUUACUCACGCAUACCUGUACAGGACCUUUUAAAACUACAUGUUUUUAAAUCUGGUCCCUUGGCUCUGCCAAAGUAGAACUGUAUUAAAAUACAAAAUACUAUUAAUAAUAGGUCUGUCCACCUGA